UACGUAGGACGCAAGCGUCAUCCGGAUUUAUUGGGUUUAAAGGGUGCGUAGGCGGACCCAUAAGUCAGUGGUGAAAUACUGUCGCUCAACGAUAGCAUUGCCAUUGAUACUGUGGGUCUUGAGUAUAAUUGAGGUAGGCGGAAUGUGUAGUGUAGCGGUGAAAUGCUUAGAUAUUACACAGAACACCGAUUGUGAAGGCAGCUUACUAAGUUAAAACUGACGCUGAGGCACGAAAGCGUGGGGAUCAAACAGG
rnacentral:rRNA from 1 species